AUAUAUAUAUAUAUAUAUAUAUAUAUAUAAAACAACAACAAUAAGUAUGUACAGACGGGAAAGCGACGUCAAAUAGAUUAAAACAAAAGCUGACCUCUGACCUAAAGUGCAGGCCUCAUUUUACUUUGCAUUUGUCUCCUAAGUCGACAAACAAAAAAAAAAACAAACAAAAAAAAAAGCCACCGUAUUUGUAAUAAAACGUGAAAAUAACGGUGUGGAAAAGUGAUUUAUGGUAAAACAACAACAAUAAAGGGGGUGAGGCGUGAUUAUGACUUUAUGUUUUUUGCGUAUAGAUGUCUUUGUGCUCGGCGCUCAGAGGCAGCGUCGUCCAGGUUGUGUCUCGGCUGAAGGUCACGGAGUUUCCUUCCUCUCCCCGUCGAUGUGUCCUCCUGACUCCGCGAGGCCUCCGGUGAAACAUUCAGCACCACCAACACGACUGUCCCGUCUUUGUUUGUCUUACAGAAGAAGAAGAAGAAAGAAAGAAAAGGCACGGCUCGUCACGGAAGCGAGGCGACUCGAGUGGACUUUUACUGCUGAGCUCCGGACGGAGAGAAAAAGGCGACCAGGCGGUUUGGAGGUUUGCACCGAGGACAGACUGGCAGAGAGAGACCCCACUUCACUCCCAAUAAGUGGCCUGAGAGGAGACGGGAAACCCUGGCCAAAUGAAACCUGGACGACGACGACGUCUCCUGCCUUCAGCUCCACGUUCCCACGACUGUUCCUUCUGCUCGCUCUCGUUCUUCAAAAGCUGCUUCGUUCGUCUUCUCUACAACUCGUACGUCUCCGUCCACUCGUGAUCGUCCCCAGUCUUCCAGUAGAAUCAAGAAUACAACUACACAACCCCAAAAGAGUCCCGAGUAUGUGACCCGGCUCAGAUUGCGGUCCAACACAGGGAGUAAGGGGCAAUGACUUCUAGCGGACGGAAACGACGAAGCGGAAGGCGAACCGGAAGAGAAAGGUCAAAGGUCGUUUGGUGUGAGGAAGCCUCGGUAUGGAGAGGCAGGUGAUGCUCCUCUGACGGUCAGCGCCUUGCAGGACGACCCACAGCCCGUCACUUACCUGCACAUUGAGUCACUUUGCAACAACCUCCAUUUUCCUGUGUGUGUUUGUGGCAGACCAACAUAAAGUGGAGCAUAACUGUGGAAGGAAGAGAAAUUCUGCAAAUAAAACAUGAAUUUGUUUUUAACCUGGUCUAAA